rnacentral:rRNA from 1 species
CUACGGGUCGCAGCAGUGAGGAAUAUUGCGCAAUGGGGGAAACCCUGACGCAGCGACGCCGCGUGGAUGAUGAAGGCCUUCGGGUCGUAAAAUCCUGUCAGAAGGAAAGAAGUGUAUGGUAGCUAAUAUCUGCCAUACUUGACGGUACCUUCAAAGGAAGCACCGGCUAACUCCGUGCCAGCAGCCGCGGUAAUACGGAGGGUGCAAGCUUUGUUCGGAAUUACUGGGCGUAAAGCGCGCGUAGGCGGUUUUAUAAGUCAGAUGUGAAAGUCCACGGCUCAACCAUGGAAGUGCAUUUGAAACUGUAAGACUUGAGUAUUGGAGGGGGUAGUGGAAUUCCCGGUGUAGAGGUGAAAUUCGUAGAUAUCGGGAGGAAUACCGGUGGCGAAGGCGACUAUCUGGCCAAAUACUGACGCUGAGGUGCGAAAGCGUGGGGAGCAAACAGGAUUAGAUACCCGCGUAGUC